GUAGGGGGCAAGCGGUGUUCGGAAUUACUGGGCGUAAAGGGCGCGUAGGCGGCAUGGCAAGUCGGGAGUGAAAGCCCGGGGCUCAACCCCGGAACGGCUUUCGAAACUGCCAAGCUAGAGUACGGAAGGGGCAACUGGAAUUCCCAGUGUAGCGGUGAAAUGCGUAGAUAUUGGGAAGAACACCGGAGGCGAAGGCGGGUUGCUGGGCCGAUACUGACGCUGAGGCGCGAAAGCCAGGGGAGCAAACGGGAUUAGAUACCCCGGUAGUCCUGGCCCUAAACGAUGGAUACUUGGUGUGUGGGGUUCUCAAAGUCCCCGCGUGCCGGAGCUAACGCGUUAAGUAUCCCGCCUGGGGAGUACGGUCGCAAGGCUG
rnacentral:rRNA from 1 species